rnacentral:rRNA from 1 species
AGCGAACGCUGGCGGCGUGCCUAACACAUGCAAGUCGAACGUGAAAGGGAGCAAUCCCAAGUAAAGUGGCGUACGGGUGAGUAACACGUAGGUAAUCUACCCCAGAAUCUGGAAUAACCGGCCGAAAGGCUGGCUAAUACUGGAUAGAGCGACGGAAUCCGUAAUUGGGUUUUUCGGGAAAGGGAGCCUGUAAAAAGGCCUUCGUUCUGGGAUGAGCCUGCGUCCCAUCAGCUAGUUGGUGAGGUAAAAGCUUACCAAGGCAAUGACGGGUAGCUGGUCUGAGAGGACGAGCAGCCACACUGGGACUGAAACACGGUCCAGACUCCUACGGGAGGCAGCAGUAGGGAAUCUUGCGCAAGGGACGAAAGUCUGACGCAGCAACGCCGCGUGAGUGAAGAGGGCCGUCGGGUUGUAAAGCUCUGUCGAGUGGGACGAAAAUGCUUGGAGUUCACAGCUCCAGGAACUGACGGUACCACUAAAGGAAGCACCGGCUAACUCCGUG